rnacentral:rRNA from 1 species
AGAGUUUGAUCAUGGCUCAGGACGAACGCUGGCGGCGUGCCUAACACAUGCAAGUCGAGCGAGGUCCAACUGGGGGCAACCCCAGGGAAGACCUAGCGGCGAACGGGUGAGUAACACGUGAGGAACCUGCCCUGGAGUGCAGAAUAACUCGGGGAAACCCGGGCUAAUACUGCAUACCUUCUUCGAUCGGCAUCGUUUGAAGAAGAAAGAAUCUCGCUCUGGGAGGGUCUCGCGGCCUAUCAGCUUGUUGGUGGGGUAACGGCCUACCAAGGCAGCGACGGGUAGCUGGUCUGAGAGGACGAUCAGCCACACUGGGACUGAGACACGGCCCAGACUCCUACGGGAGGCAGCAGUGGGGAAUUUUGCGCAAUGGGCGAAAGCCUGACGCAGCAACGCCGCGUGCGGGAAGAAGGCCCUCGGGUUGUAAACCGCUUUCAGCAGGAACGAAACUGACGGUACCUGCAGAAGAAGCCCCGGCCAACUACGUGCCAGCAGCCGCGGUGAUACGUAGGGGGCGAGCGUUGUCCGGAUUCAUUGGGCGUAAAGAGCUCGUAGGCGGUUCGGUUAGUCAGAUGUGAAAACUCCGGGCUCAACUCGGAGAGGCCAUCUGAUACUGCCGUGACUAGAGUUCGGUAGAGGAGUGUGGAAUUCCCGGUGUAGCGGUGAAAUGCGCAGAUAUCGGGAGGAACACCAGCGGCGAAGGCGGCACUCUGGGCCGACACUGACGCUGAGGAGCGAAAGCGUGGGGAGCGAACAGGAUUAGAUACCCUAGUAGUCC